CUAAAGUUUUAAUGAAUAUAACAUGGCAGGAAGUGGCUACCCUGGAGUCAUGGACAGCUGGGUCGGGAGGUGGGGAGGGGUGCUUUGGACUGGCCUCGGUUUACAUCCUUACUGCCCCGCCCUCGUGUGUGACCUUGAAGAAGUGACUUCUCUCCAAGCUUCAGUUUCCAGUCUGUAAAACGGAGCUCACACCAAGACUUUGUUCCUAGGGCUGUCUCAGGGGUUAAAUGAGAGCACAGUGGCAAUGUUCUUGGGCCAGUUCCUGGAAGGAACGUAGCGCAUUGCCCGGCACAGAGCAAAUGCUGAGGAAAGUCACUUGGGGCUGUCUUCAGGCUGCAUCAGAAAAUUCCUCUUUCAGCAAAGACGCCAUCUGGCAAGCGCCCUGCAGUCUCCGCCAUCCUCUGUAGUUCUGCCAGCUUAUUACUGUUUUGUUUUGUUUUAAAAAUAUAGAUGACAUUUAUCAAGUACUCACUGUUAUUUCUCCCUUAAUUCUCUCCACAGCCCCACGAGGUAGGUGCUGCCAUGAGCCCUAUUUUCCAGAUGAGGAAAAUUGAGGCUUAGAAACAGUUAAGUGGCCCGUCCCAGAUCACAUGGCCAGGUUUGUGUUCCCAGGCUCAGUUGUCUGGGGCAUGAGUGCUUGAAGGAGAAGAGAAAAGCACACUGGAAUGCUUGCACACGUGCUCCGGCAAGUUUGCAUCUGACCCUCAAGGCUGUUUUGUCACCUGAUCUCCCAGUGACUCUGAGAUGUGUGAUGAGUCCGGCUCAAGGAGUGGGGAGCUCAGGGGCAUGCCCACUGCCACUCAGCAGGUGGUGUUCAGAGAAAAAGAAAACACGGGUUGCUUCUGAUAGAUGGGCAAGGGAAGCUUCAAUGGUGAAACAUUUGAGCAGAGACCCGGAGGAGGUGAAGGAGGUGAAUAUCAGCAUGAGCCUUCCAGGCAAAUGGCACAGCAAGUGCAAAGGCCCCGAGGCUUUUUGCAGAACCAAGGACAUGGUUGAUGCUUCUUGCUUUAUGCAUAAAAGCCCCUUAGUGUAGAAUUGCCAGACAGAAUACACGGUGAGAGGUUAAGUUUGCAUUUCAGAUAAAUAUAGGCUCAUUGUUAGUGUAAGUAUGUCCCGUGCAAUUUGGGACAUAUUUAUUCUAAAAAAAUUAGUCAUUGUUUAUCUAAAAUUCAAAUUUAACUGGAUAUCCUAUAUUUUUUAUUUGCCAAAUCUGGCAACUCAACUCAGUGGUUUGUUAUCAUGUGAGCUAUGGAAAUAAAAAUCUCAUGCUGGCUUUACAGGGGCAACUGGCUGGGUGAAAUAGGGAAUCAGAAUUGGGUCAUCCAGGUUUGAAUGCUGGCUUUGUCAUUUGUUAGCCAUGUUUCUUGGCCAAGUCCUUUGACCUCUGGGCCUCCAGAUCUUCAUCUGUGAAAUGGGAGAUACUGCAUCCAAUUUCAGGGCGAUUAGAAGACGAGAGCUAAUCAGCAAAGCUUGGACAUCAGAUAGCUGUGUCAUUCAUGCUAACUCUUAUUAGUUGUUGCAUCAUAUGUAAGAUAAGCUCAAAUCUGUUAAUCUUCCCAUACGAUCUUUUCACAUGAGUUGUGACUAACCUGUUAUAUUUAGAGUAAUGGUUUACCAAUGGGGAGGGAAUAAAGAUAAAACUCAAAGUAAAAGAAUACAAUUUUUUAAAUGAGCAGAAACACAGUGAAGGAGGCGAGAGAAGGAAGAAAACAACAGAGAUGGAGAGAAGCA